AGGAUGAACGCUGGCGGUCUGCUUAACACAUGCAAGUCGAACGGGCGUAGCAAUACGUUAGUGGCGGACGGGUGAGUAACGCGUGAGAAUCUACCUUCAGGACGGAGACAACAGUUGGAAACGACUGCUAACCCCGAUGUACCGAAAGGGCAAAUAUUUAUAGCCUGAAGAAGAGCUCGCGUCCGAUUAGCUAGUUGGAGAGGUAAAAGCUCACCAAGGCGACGAUCGGUAGCUGGUCUGAGAGGACGAUCAGCCACACUGGGACUGAGACACGGCCCAGACUCCUACGGGAGGCAGCAGUGGGGAAUUUUCGCAAUGGGCGAAAGCCUGACGGAGCAAGACCGCGUGGGGGAAGAAGGCUCUUGGGUUGUAACCCCUUUUCUCUGGGAAGACGCAAUGACGGUACCAGAGGAAUCAGCAUCGGCUAACUCCGUGCCAGCAGCCGC
rnacentral:rRNA from 1 species